rnacentral:sRNA from 1 species
GCUGGGCAUGGUGGUGCAUGCCUGUAAUCCCAGCUACUCAGGAGGCUGAGGCAGGAGAAUUGCUUGAACCCAGGAGGCAGAGGUUGCAGUGAGCUGAGAUCACACCACUGCUCUCCAGCCUGGGUGAUACAGCAAGACCCCCUCUCAA